rnacentral:lncRNA from 1 species
CUCUGAGACAUUUACCAGGGGUGGACCAGUAACUUAAAAUUGGUCUGAAAGGUAAGGAUGAAUGUUAGUGCCACACUGCAUGUGAACGGUAGGCCAGGCCAUCCGCUUCAGCUCAGUCCAGGGGAGAGCCAGCUGGCGGAGCAGGCGGACAGUGCAUACCAGACCCCAUCUCGGUGUGUCAGGCAUUGAGUAGCUCUCUUUUCAGCUUGCCUCGGAAGAACAGUUGGACAUCAGUGGUGGCACAGGUGCUAUGAUUUGCAGUGAAGAACAAUAAAUUCUCAAAAUUAAAUCUUUACCCUUUCUGGUUGUAAUGAAAUCAGAAAUCCUCAGAACUCUGACAUAGAUUUCCU